AGGAUGAACGCUAGCGGGAGGCCUAAUACAUGCAAGUCGAACGGUAACAGGUAGCAAUACGCUGACGAGUGGCGCACGGGUGCGUAACGCGUACACAAUCUGCCUUAUACUGGGGCAUAGCCUUUGGAAACGAAGAAUAAUUCCCCAUAAUAUAUAGAAGAGGCAUCUCUUUUAUAUUAAAGCUCAGGCGGUAUAAGAUGAGUGUGCGUCCGAUUAGGUAGUUGGUGAGGUAACGGCUCACCAAGCCAACGAUCGGUAGCUGGUCUGAGAGGAUGAUCAGCCACACGGGCACUGAGACACGGGCCCGACUCCUACGGGAGGCAGCAGUAGGGAAUAUUGGACAAUGGGCGCAAGCCUGAUCCAGCCAUCCCGCGUGAAGGAUGAAGGUCCUCUGGAUUGUAAACUUCUUUUCUUCGGGAAUAAAAACUGGGGUUCUCCUCAGCUUGAAGGUACCGAAGGAAUAAGCACCGGCUAACUCCGUG
rnacentral:rRNA from 1 species